GUCGAGCGGAUGAAGAGAGCUUGCUCUCUGAUUCAGCGGCGGACGGGUGAGUAAUGCCUAGGAAUCUGCCUGGUAGUGGGGGACAACGUUUCGAAAGGAACGCUAAUACCGCAUACGUCCUACGGGAGAAAGCAGGGGACCUUCGGGCCUUGCGCUAUCAGAUGAGCCUAGGUCGGAUUAGCUAGUUGGUGAGGUAAUGGCUCACCAAGGCGACGAUCCGUAACUGGUCUGAGAGGAUGAUCAGUCACACUGGAACUGAGACACGGUCCAGACUCCUACGGGAGGCAGCAGUGGGGAAUAUUGGACAAUGGGCGAAAGCCUGAUCCAGCCAUGCCGCGUGUGUGAAGAAGGUCUUCGGAUUGUAAAGCACUUUAAGUUGGGAGGAAGGGCAUUAACCUAAUACGUUAGUGUUUUGACGUUACCGACAGAAUAAGCACCGGCUAACUCUGUGCCAGCAGCCGCGGUAAUACAGAGGGUGCAAGCGUUAAUCGGAAUUACUGGGCGUAAAGCGCGCGUAGGUGGUUUGUUAAGUUGGAUGUGAAAGCCCCGGGCUCAACCUGGGAACUGCAUUCAAAACUGACAAGCUAGAGUAUGGUAGAGGGUGGUGGAA
rnacentral:rRNA from 1 species